AUUGCAGGUACCUAUGAUUCUGCCUAUUCCUUUUCCUUUUUCAUUUUGAAUCCUAAUUUUAAUAAUGUUGAUGUUGCUAUUAUAGGGUUUUUGGUAAUAAUGUUGUUGUUUCGAGCUUCUCUAGGUUUCGCUUGCCGUUCAGCUCUGAUCUCUUCCAAUUUGCCAGUGUUCUUCUGCUAGAGUUCAUCACCGCUGAUCUUUGUUCUGCAGUUCCAAGUUGAAUGAAGGAAGACCUCUUAGCUGCUCAGUCUCAUGGAACUGAUUUGUUGCAACAUGGAGAACAAUAACUUCAUUAAUAACACAGAUACUGUCUAAAAAAAUUAGGAGUUCAAAUUUGGUAUGCAAACUUUGAAGAAUAUCUCUGUGUUUAUCCUGUCAAUCAGUAUCAACUUUACUUGCCUCACAGGUUAGUAGUGAACAUCAAAGGCCAUAAAGUAAGUUUGAUUCUUUUUCCAAUCUUGAUAAUGAUACUGAUUCUAGAAUUAAGAAAAUAUGUACUAUAUGGAUAGUUGAGAAAUUUUCCAUGUCAGUGAGUCACUUUCUGUUAUAGCUUCUUCAAAUAUUUUUUAGGUAUUGUCCAAUUUUUUCACUCUAGAUUCUAGAAGCACAAGAUAAAUCAAACAAAUAAAUAUAUACAUAUAUGCCACUUGCUAUUCUUGAUGCAUCAAUAAUUCAAUAUGCAUUAAGAAUUAGUCCACAAAGAAGUUAAUAAAUUUUUAUAUACAGUCAUAUACAAUCAUAUACUUAUUUUAGCGUGG